AAUAUGUGGUUGAGUCACUGGCGGAGAGUGCACGCCGCAUCCUGCACGGGCGACUGGUGGACGGCUCAGGGACCAAGGUCAGCGGACUGAACAACACCCAACGCUGCUUCUCCACCCAUUCGGCAGAAAGCAGGGUGGUCAUGAAUCCGACGGCCAUGAGUACGCUCCGGUCAGCCACUCCCCUGCUGACGGCAGCUGCCGCCACACCCUGCGGGCAGGCCGCUCUGGUGCUGUUCGGCGCGGCAGCCGUCAUCGCUUCAGUCGGAUACACUGCCGGGAAAAUCGCCGAACUCAUCAGAGAACACAAACAGAAGGCUCACCAGUACUGAGGGCAUCAGAGAACGCAAACAGAAGGCUCACCAGUACUGAGGGCAUCAGAGAACGCAAACAGAAGGCUCACCGGUACUGAGGGCAUCAGAGAACGCAAACAGAAGGCUCACCAGAAGGGCAUCAGAGAACGCAAACAGAAGGCUCACCAGUACUGAGGGCAUCAGAGAACGGAAACAGAAGGCUCACCAGUUCUGAGGGCAUCAGAGAACGCAACCAGAAGGCUCACCAGUGCUGAGGGCAUCAGAGAACGCAAACAGAAGGCUCACCAGUACUGAGGGCAUCAGAGAACGCAAACAGAAGGCUCACCAGUAUUGAGGACGUCUCUGAGUGUGUGGGGAUCUCGCUGGUACGGGGAGACUUGAGCUUUUAUUUUUCGAAGACUUGAUACCAGUGAAAGAUUGGCACGCUGUGGUAGCAACUAGCAAUGUCUGUAAAGAUUUUCAGAUGUUUCCAUGGCUUGCGUUGUACGCUGACAUGAAAAACAUCUUCAGGCUCGGAUGAUGCUGAGAAUGAGAUUGACUCAGGGCACACUUUUAUAUAAAGAUAAUGCUGAGCAUGAGGUUGAUCUCGAUGGCAAUUCUAUCGUUGUACCAUCGAUAGUACCAUCAUGGCACAUGUACAUUAAUAAAACGCUUUUUAGAUGUACAGUUCUGACUGGCUUAUUUUGAUAAUGACCGGUGGUCGACUCGAAUCAUCAAUAAUUAUUGCAUUAUGUCAUUAA